AGUUAAGAUCUUGAAACUCAAAGAAUUUGGCGGUGUUUUAGUCCUUUCAGAGGAAUCUGUCCUGUAAUUGACAAUACACGAUUUAUGAUACUUUCUUUUGUUAACAAUUUGUAUACCGCCGUCAUAAGAUUAUCUUACAGAGAGGGAAAAUUUUCUUUAUUUUAUAUUAAUAAUUAUGUCAGGUCAAGGUGCAGUAAAUGGGAAAGGGAGAGAUGGAUUACAAUAAUAAGAGUUAUAUGAAUAUUUGAAUAUAUUAAGAGAUUGAAGGUGGAUUUGAUUGUAAAUGUGACGUAGAAUGGCGUAUUGAUUGGGGCUCUAAAAUGUGCACACAUCGCCCGUCGCUCUCGUAUUUAAUAUGAG
rnacentral:rRNA from 1 species